rnacentral:rRNA from 1 species
UACGUAGGGACCAAGCGUUGUUCGGAUUUACUGGGCGUAAAGGGCGCGUAGGCGGCUUGUCAAGUCACUUGUGAAAUCUCUGGGCUUAACCCAGAACGGCCAAGUGAAACUGACAUGCUAGAGUGCAGAAGGGGCAAUCGGAAUUCUUGGUGUAGCGGUGAAAUGCGUAGAUAUCAAGAGGAACACCUGGGGUGAAGACGGGUUGCUGGGCUGACACUGACGCUGAGGCGCGAAAGCCAGGGGAGCAAACGGG